GAGUAGACCGUUCGUAGUAGAAGUUCGGCUCUCGCGGGAGCUCGAUUGGGAUUCGGAAGGCGGUCGACUGCCGUGGGAACUUGGAUGGAGUCUGGUUACCAUAGAAAUCUCGCUGUCGGGGAAGCUCGGAUGCAGACGAAGUCCGAAAGAAAUUCGGAAAAUAGUUGGUUGCUGUAGAAGGUCGGCUAACAGUGGAGCCCGGAGGGCCUUUGGGGUGGCCCAGUGGAUGAGUGCAGAAGUUCAUUAUCGGAGAAGUCCGGACGGUCGAGGGGGUUCGGAGAGACGCCACACAUAAGAUCGGGAGCCGGAAGAGCCC
rnacentral:lncRNA from 1 species